GACGAACGCUGGCGGCGUGCUUAACACAUGCAAGUCGAACGGAAAGGCCCUUUGCUUGCAAGGGGUACUCGAGUGGCGAACGGGUGAGUAACACGUGGGUGAUCUGCCUUGCACUUCGGGAUAAGCCUGGGAAACUGGGUCUAAUACCGGAUAGGACCAUGCUUUAGUGUGUGUGGUGGAAAGUUUUUCGGUGCAAGAUGAGCCCGCGGCCUAUCAGCUUGUUGGUGGGGUAAUGGCCUACCAAGGCGACGACGGGUAGCCGGCCUGAGAGGGUGUACGGCCACAUUGGGACUGAGACACGGCCCAGACUCCUACGGGAGGCAGCAGUGGGGAAUAUUGCACAAUGGGCGCAAGCCUGAUGCAGCGACGCCGCGUGGGGGAUGACGGCCUUCGGGUUGUAAACUCCUUUCGCUAGGGAAGAAGCCUUUUGGUGACGGUACCUGGAUAAGAAGCACCGGCUAACUACGUGCCAGCAGCCGCGGUAAUACGUAGGGUGCGAGCGUUGUCCGGAAUUACUGGGCGUAAAGAGCUCGUAGGUGGUUUGUCGCGUCGUCUGUGAAAUCCCGGGGCUUAACUUCGGGCGUGCAGGCGAUACGGGCAUAACUAGAGUGCUGUAGGGGAGACUGGAAUUCCUGGUGUAGCGGUGAAAUGCGCAGAUAUCAGGAGGAACACCGAUGGCGAAGGCAGGUCUCUGGGCAGUUACUGACGCUGAGGAGCGAAAGCAUGGGUAGCGAACA
rnacentral:rRNA from 1 species